UUUUCUUGAUCAGCAAGUACAAGCAAGAUUUGCACAUGGACAAGAUAAUGGAGAUUCCAAGGAAAAUAGAGCCAUCUUACUUCUGUAAUGUCCAUUCAAUUUUAAAUAUAUUUGUGGCUUGUCAGAGAAGCUAGAAAAUCUGAAGAAUACUCAAAUGCAUCAUCAACCAUAAACAAUACUCACUAAAGAGCUUGAGUGAUGAAGAGCUCAAAGAACUGGUAAAGGAGGAGAAAAUGGUCCCUACCUUUACAGCUUUUAGAAAAGAUUUCAGAAUUUUCAUCAUUACUAGCACUAGUGUCACUGAUUUUGGCGUUCAUCUCCUCAUUGUCAAAAUAUUCUAUUGCCUCUCAAACCAAAAUUCUAUUCCUAACCAACUCCAAAACAAAAAGCGAAAGGAAGAGUAGGUGCUUAUAAUGCUUAGGAAAAUUUUAAGUGACAAGGGUAUGACUGAAUAUUUUAACCAUGUAGAAGUGGUUAGAAUGACUUUUAAGCAUCAGAGUUGGAAAAUGUGUGGAAGAGUGCGGGUGAAGCCUAUAUUCUGCUUUCGAAUCCUUGCAAAUAGAGCAAAGGCAUGCCUUUUUGGCUUUCCUUCUUUUUAUGAUCCGGGUUGCUAUGCACCAGCCACUAUUGGAGUCAACAGGACCCCGCGUGAGUAGAGCACCAUCAGAGGUCUGAACUAUAUUCUCAGAAUCCAUAAUAUAUGUGGACGACUAGAGUAUCCACAUUUUCUGCAAACAAAAGCACGCUCCUCAUGUAUGGGUUAUGUUAUAAACUAUCAAUAUUAUUAUUUAUUUGUUAUUA